rnacentral:rRNA from 1 species
CCUACGGGUGGCAGCAGUGAGGAAUAUUGGUCAAUGGACGAGAGUCUGAACCAGCCAAGUAGCGUGAAGGAUGACUGCCCUAUGGGUUGUAAACUUCUUUUAUAUGGGAAUAAAACGUUCCACGUGUGGGAUUUUGUAUGUACUAUAUGAAUAAGGAUCGGCUAACUCCGUGCCAGCAGCCGCGGUAAUACGGAGGAUCCGAGCGUUAUCCGGAUUUAUUGGGUUUAAAGGGAGCGUAGAUGGAUUGUUAAGUCAGUUGUGAAAGUUUGCGGCUCAACCGUAAAAUUGCAGUUGAUACUGGCAGUCUUGAGUACAGUAGAGGUGGGCGGAAGUCGUGGUGUAGCGGUGAAAUGCUUAGAUAUCACGAAGAACUCCGAUUGCGAAGGCAGUUCACUAAACUGCCACUGACACUGAGGCUCGAAAGUGUGGGUAUCAAACAGGAUUAGAUACCCGGGUAGUC